rnacentral:rRNA from 1 species
GAUGAACGCUGGCGGCGUGCUUAACACAUGCAAGUCGAACGGAAAGGCCUCAGCUUGCUGGGGUGCUCGAGUGGCGAACGGGUGAGUAACACGUAGGGGAUCUGCCUUUCACUUCGGGAUAAGCUUGGGAAACUGGGUCUAAUACCGGAUAUUCACGGCACCGUGGUUGGUGUGGUGGAAAGCUUUUGCGGUGGGAGAUGAGCUUGCGGCCUAUCAGCUUGUUGGUGGGGUAAUGGCCUACCAAGGCGGCGACGGGUAGCCGGCCUGAGAGGGUGUGCGGCCACAUUGGGACUGAGGUACGGCCCAGCCUCCUACGGGAGGCAGCAGUGGGGAAUUUUGCACAAUGGGCGGAAGCCUGAUGCAGCGACGCCGUGUGGGGGAUGAAGGCCUUCGGGUUGUAGACUCCUUUCGUCAGGGACGAAGUUUGUUUGACGGUACCUGGAUAAGAAGCACCGGCUAACUACGUG